UACGAAGGGGGCUAGCGUUGCUCGGAAUCACUGGGCGUAAAGGGCGCGUAGGCGGGCUUUUAAGUCAGGGGUGAAAGCCCAAGGCUCAACCUUGGAAUUGCCUUUGAUACUGAGGGCCUUGAGACCGGAAGAGGUCGGCGGAACUGCGAGUGUAGAGGUGAAAUUCGUAGAUAUUCGCAAGAACACCAGUGGCGAAGGCGGCCGACUGGUCCGGUUCUGACGCUGAGGCGCGAAAGCGUGGGGAGCAAACAGG
rnacentral:rRNA from 1 species